rnacentral:rRNA from 1 species
UAGUGAACCAGUACUGUGAAGGAAAGGUGAAAAGCACUUCGAAUAGAAGAGUGAAAUAGUUCCUGAAACCGUGCGCCUACAAGCGGUCGGAGCACCUUUUGGUGUGACGGCGUGCCUUUUGCAUAAUGAACCUACGAGUUACUUUUUCCGGCAAGGUUAAGCAUCUUCAGAUGUGCAGCCGAAGCGAAAGCGAGUCUGAACAGGGCGAUUAGUCGGAAGGAGUAGACGCGAAACCAAGUGAUCUACCCUUGGUCAGGUUGAAGGAUGGGUAACACCAUCUGGAGGACCGAACCGAUAAGCGUUGAAAAGCUUCUGGAUGAACUGAGGGUGGGGGUGAAAGGCUAAUCAAACUUGGAGAUAGCUCGUACUCCCCGAAAUGCAUUUAGGUGCAGCCUUGGGAGUUACUACUGUGAGGUAGAGCGACUGAUAAGAUGCGAGGGCUUCACCGCCUAUCAAGUCUUGACAAACUCCGAAUGCGUGUCAGUUCUAUGUCAGGAGUGAGGGCAUGGGUGCUAAGGUCCAUGUCCUAAAGGAGAAGAAUCCGGACCACCAGCUAAGGUCCCGAAAUAAUUGCUAAGUUGAACUAACGAAGUCAGAUUGCUAAGACAGCUAGGAUGUUGGCUUGGAAGCAGCCAUUCAUUUAAAGAGUGCGUAACAGCUCACUAGUCGAGCGAUCUGGCGUGGAUAAUAAUCGGGCAUAAACGAUCUGCCGAAGCCGUGGAUGUCGCAAGACAUGGUAGGGGAGCAUUCCAUGCGGCGUCGAAGAUAAGGGAUGACCCUUGUUGGAGCGCAUGGAAAAGCAAAUGUAGGUAUGAGUAACGAUAAGGGGGGCGAGAAACCCCCUCGCCGAAAGACUAAGGUUUCCUGAUCAACGCUAAUCGGAUCAGGGUGAGUCGGGUCCUAAGGCUCAGCCGAACGGCGACGCCGAUGGAAGAAUGGGUUAAUAUUCCCAUACUGCCUCAUGGAGUGACGUGGAGACGGAGAAGUGACAGUCCUGCCGGCUGACGGAAUAGCCGGUUGAAGGGUGUAGGAGUCGAUCAUGGUAGGCAAAUCCGCCGUGAGAUCCGAACCUGACAGUAUACCGAGUACUUGUACGAGGUAAUAUGGACGUAACCAUGCUCCCAAGAAAAUCCGCUAAACUUAUCCAUGCGGCACCCGUACCGCAAACGGACACACGUAGUCGGGUUGAGAAUACUAAGGCGCUUGAGUGAUUCACGGUUAAGGAACUAGGCAAACUGACCCUGUAACUUCGGGAUAAAGGGUCCCAACGAGAGUUGGGCGCAGAGAAUAGGUCCAGGCAACUGUUUAACAAAAACACAUGGCUGUGCUAAAUGGAAAGAUGACGUAUACAGCCUGACACCUGCCCGGUGCUGGAAGGUUAAGAGGAGAUGUCAUCGCAAGAGAAGCGUUGAAUUGAAGCCCCAGUAAACGGCGGCCGUAACUAUAACGGUCCUAAGGU